AGAACAUGACGCCUGCAGCUGCCAUGAAAAGGGUGGGCAAUAGCCCUAGUAGCCCUUUCUAGUAAGUGCGUGCCUGCUAAUUUAUGUAAUCAUAACAUAAGCCCUAAUAUGUCAUCUUUCCUAUCUAGGCCAUGAAGUGGCUCAUCUUGUGAACCAGGGAAGAUGAGUUUUAAAACCAAGAUAAUCUUGUCUAGAAUUUAUGGCUUUUGGAAGUGGAACAUCUCAGGGCUACAUAAUUACAGGCAUCCUGCCCCACAGCCAUGUAAAUUUUCCUACAUAUAAAUGUUCGUUGCUGUCUUUUACAUUCCUCUGCUGACAGUGAAGAGGUCAUGCUAAAUCAAAUUGAUGCAGAAACUGGACAGUAUCUUUACCCAGGAUGUCCAAAUUAAUUCUACCAAAACAAGAGAUAAGAUAACAUCAAAGUAUAUUCCAGAAGGCUUUCCUUCUACUUCUUUUCAUGAAUAUACCUGCUUCUGAAGAGUGUCUUGGAUGCCACAUGCAAUGCGCUGCAAUGAGAAGAGGAGCCAAGCAACAGGAUUUAUGAUGUUGUUUAUCUGUUGGUGAUGUUUCGUCAGUUCUGAUUUAUGGCAGAACUGCGCCUGGGCCCAGUGAGGUAUGGUUUCCAGUCCCACAGCUUGCCAGAAUUCAUGAGGGCUUACCCG
rnacentral:lncRNA from 1 species